rnacentral:misc_RNA from 1 species
AAAGGAUGUCACUUGUGACAUACCCCAUCCGUGUCUAUAUACUCUUGUUGCUUUGGCAGGCCGUGGUCUUGACCCUGUGGGCUUUAUGCCUGCAAGUGCCUGCCAGAGGCCCGAAACUCUUUGUCAUCAGUGGCCUCUCUGAGUAACUUAUACAAUAAGUCAAAACUUUCAACAACGGAUCUCUUGGUUCU